rnacentral:ncRNA from 1 species
GGUAGCAUAACAGGUCCGUGAUGCCCUUUAGAUGCUCUGGGCUGCACGCGUGCUACAAUGUUAGGAUCAAUAGGACUGCGAGCCUGAGAGGGUGCGCUACUCUUAUAAUCCCUAACGUAGUUGGGAUUGACGUUUGUAAUCAGCGUCAUGAACCAGGAAUCCCUUGUAAAUGUGUGUCAACAACGCACGUUGAAUACGUCCCUGCCCUUUGUACACACCGCCCGUCGCUCCUACCGAUUGGAUGACUCGGUGAAAUCACCGGAUGCUUACGAGCAGAAAGUGAUUAAAUCACGUUAUCUAGAGGAAGGAGAAGUCGUAACAAGGUAACGGUAGGUGAACCUGCCGUUGGAUCAGUU